AUUGAACGCUGGCGGCAGGCCUAACACAUGCAAGUCGAGCGGAUGAAGGGAGCUUGCUCCUGGAUUCAGCGGCGGACGGGUGAGUAAUGCCUAGGAAUCUGCCUGGUAGUGGGGGAUAACGUCCGGAAACGGGCGCUAAUACCGCCUACGUCCUGAGGGAGCAAGUGGGGGAUCUUCGGACCUCACGCUAUCAGAUGAGCCUAGGUCGGAUUAGCUAGUUGGUGGGUUAAAGGCCUACCAAGGCGACGAUCCGUAACUGGUCUGAGAGGAUGAUCAGUCACACUGGAACUGAGACACGGUCCAGACUCCUACGGGAGGCAGCAGUGGGGAAUAUUGGACAAUGGGCGAAAGCCUGAUCCAGCCAUGCCGCGUGUGUGAAGAAGGUCUUCGGAUUGUAAAGCACUUUAAGUUGGGAGGAAGGGCAGUAAGUUAAUACCUUGCUGUUUUGACGUUACCAACAGAAUAAGCACCGGCUAACUUCGUG
rnacentral:rRNA from 1 species